AUUGAACGCUGGCGGCGUGCUUAACACAUGCAAGUCGAUCGGUAACAGGUGUAGCAAUACAUGCUGACGAGAGGCGGACGGGUGAGUAAUGCUUGGGAAUCUGCCUAUUAGUGGGGGACAACCCGGGGAAACUCGGGCUAAUACCGCAUACGCUCUACGGAGGAAAGCCGGGGACCGCAAGGCCUGGCGCUAAUAGAUGAGCCCAAGUCGGAUUAGCUAGUUGGUAGGGUGACGGCCUACCAAGGCGACAAUCCGUAGCUGGUCUGAGAGGACGACCAGCCACACCGGAACUGAGACACGGUCCGGACUCCUACGGGAGGCAGCAGUGGGGAAUAUUGGACAAUGGGGGCAACCCUGAUCCAGCGACGCCGCGUGGGUGAAGAAGGCCUGCGGGUUGUAAAGCCC
rnacentral:rRNA from 1 species